ACUCAAAUGAAUUGACGGGGACCCGCACAAGCGGUGGAGCAUGUGGUUUAAUUCGAGGCUACGCGAAGAACCUUACCCAGGCUUGACAUGUAGUUGACUGUGAAUGAAAGUUCAUUUUCCCGCAAGGGACGAUUACACAGGUGCUGCAUGGCUGUCGUCAGCUCGUGCUGUGAAGUGUUGGGUUAAGUCCCGCAACGAGCGCAACCUUUACCCUUAGUUGCCAUCAUUAAGUUGGGCACUCUAGGGGGACUGCCGGUGAUAAACUGGAGGAAGGGGGAGAUGACGUCAAGUCAGUAUGGCCCUUAUGCCUGGGGCUACACACGUGCUACAAUGGCCGCCACAAUGGGCUGCAAACCCGCGAGGGGGAGCUAAUCCCAAAAAAACGGCCCCAGUUCAGAUCGCAGGCUGCAAUUCGCCUGCGUGAAGUCGGAAUCGCUAGUAACGGUACAUCAGCAUCGGUACCGUGAAUACGUUCCCGGGUCUUGUACACACCGCCCGU
rnacentral:rRNA from 1 species